rnacentral:rRNA from 1 species
UGGGGAAUAUUGCACAAUGGGCGCAAGCCUGAUGCAGCCAUGCCGCGUGUGUGAAGAAGGCCUUCGGGUUGUAAAGCACUUUCAGCGGGGAGGAAGGCGAUAAGGUUAAUAACCUUGUCGAUUGACGUUACCCGCAGAAGAAGCACCGGCUAACUCCGUGCCAGCAGCCGCGGUAAUACGGAGGGUGCAAGCGUUAAUCGGAAUUACUGGGCGUAAAGCGCACGCAGGCGGUCUGUCAAGUCGGAUGUGAAAUCCCCGGGCUCAACCUGGGAACUGCAUUCGAAACUGGCAGGCUAGUGUCUUGUAGAGGGGGGUAGAAUUCCAGGUGUAGCGGUGAAAUGCGUAGAGAUCUGGAGGAAUACCGGUGGCGAAGGCGGCCCCCUGGACAAAGACUGACGCUCAGGUGCGAAAGCGUGGGGAGCAAACAGG